CCUGCACACCUGCAUGGGAGGAUAAGUUUGUGAGAGAUCUUCCAGCAAACAAUUAAAACAAAGAAAGACGCUCAGCUCAUGAUCAAAACACUGGAGACGCAACUGCCCGAGAUGAAGCCUCGAACGUCACACGCUACGUCAUUUCGCCUAUGUGAAUCCCACUCGAUACGGAGCUUCGCUGGGGGAGGAGCCGAGGUUUUCAACCUAACAACCUAAAUACACUAUGCUAUAUGCACUUCACUUCUAAAUAAAUAAGAAAAGGAAG
ensembl:lncRNA